UGGGGCCAAGACAAUUAACCAGCAGCUUCCCCACAAAGCUUCUAUGUUACAACUUCUCAAUAGGAGCGUUGGUAACGCGACAAACAUAGCUCUAUCUUGGCAAUUUUUUUUUUAUUUUAAUUUUUUUUAAAUUAAUUUAUUCUUUCACUCAGUUUUAAGUGUUUUUGAAGAGACCCUAUAUUUGCCGAACUCUUUGUCUAUCCAAAUUGUUUGCUUGGUGAAGUAACUAAUUAAUUAAGCAUAGAGAGAUUAGAGGAUUAGAGCGUUAAUUUCCAGUUGAGACAUAAAUCUUGGAAUAGAGCCUAUGUUGGCAUAAAACUUUAUUACACUUCCCGAAUGAGAAAGUUUAUUAUUAAAAUACCGUUUGUCUGUUUUCCGGUCGAGAAAACGAUGGUGAAAUGGCAGUCGCGUUUAAUGCAGUGGACGAUAACAGACAGAACAUAUUUUUGACUUUUUUGUUUAAUAUUGUUGCAGUUUGCUUGAAAUUUUCAACGUAUCAUAAAGGAAAGUAUUCGUAUAAUACAGUUUCUUGGUUUAUUCGGUAUUGCAUUGGUUGGGUCCUCGCCUGUCUACACUACAGACCAGUUUUGAAUUAUUUGAAAUCCUUAGUUUUAUUAUACAGAUAUGAAAUUGGCAACAAUGUUGAUUGUUUAUACUGUUUAUCAUUGUGUUUCCCUCCC